rnacentral:rRNA from 1 species
UACGUAGGAUGCAAGCGUUGUCCGGAAUUAUUGGGCGUAAAGAGCGCGCAGGCGGUCUAUCAAGUCAGAUGUGAAAUAUCCAGGCUUAACCUGGAGGGGUCAUUUGAAACUGGUAGACUAGAGUACAGCAGAGGAUAGUGGAAUUCCCGGUGUAGUGGUGAAAUGCGUAGAUAUCGGGAGGAACACCAGUGGCGAAGGCAGCCUCCUGGGCCAGCACUGACGCUCAUGCACGAAAGCGUGGGGAGCAAACAGG